GACGAACGCUGGCGGCGUGCUUAACACAUGCAAGUCGAACGGAAAGGCCCUGCUUUUGUGGGGUGCUCGAGUGGCGAACGGGUGAGUAACACGUGAGUAACCUGCCCUUGACUUUGGGAUAACUUCAGGAAACUGGGGCUAAUACCGGAUAGGAGCUCCUGCUGCAUGGUGUGGGUUGGAAAGUGUCGGCGGUUGGGGAUGGACUCGCGGCUUAUCAGCUUGUUGGUGGGGUAGUGGCUUACCAAGGCUUUGACGGGUAGCCGGCCUGAGAGGGUGACCGGCGACAUUGGGACUGAGAUACGGCCCAGACUCCUACGGGAGGCAGCAGUGGGGAAUAUUGCACAAUGGGCGGAAGCCUGAUGUAGCAACGCCGCGUGCGGGAUGACGGCCUUCGGGUUGUAAACCGCUUUCGACUGUGACGAAGCGUGAGUGACGGUAAUGGGUAAAGAAGCACCGGCUAACUACGUG
rnacentral:rRNA from 1 species